UGGGUGAACAGCACCUCCCUGGCCAUCCGCAGAGAGUGCCGGUCUCCAACGAGUUCAUCGUAGUUCACAACGGCAUCAUCACAAACUAUAAGGACAUCAAAAAGUUCCUGGUGAAGCAAGGGCUUGGAGUUGAGUCGGAGACGACACGGAG